rnacentral:rRNA from 1 species
AGGGUUUGAUCAUGGCUCAGAUUGAACGCUGGCGGAAUGCUUUACACAUGCAAGUCGAACGGCAGCACGGACUUCGGUCUGGUGGCGAGUGGCGAACGGGUGAGUAAUAUAUCGGAACGUGCCCAGUCGUGGGGGAUAACGUAGUGAAAAUUACGCUAAUACCGCAUACGAUCUAAGGAUGAAAGCGGGGGAUCGCAAGACCUCGCGCGAUUGGAGCGGCCGAUAUCAGAUUAGGUAGUUGGUGAGGUAAAGGCUCACCAAGCCAACGAUCUGUAGCUGGUCUGAGAGGACGACCAGCCACACUGGAACUGAGACACGGCCCAGACUCCUACGGGAGGCAGCAGUGGGGAAUAUUGCACAAUGGGCGCAAGCCUGAUGCAGCAACGCCGCGUGAGGGAUGAAGGCCUUCGGGUUGUAAACCUCUUUUAGCAGGGAAGAAGCGAAAGUGACGGUACCUGCAGAAAAAGCACCGGCUAACUACGUGCCAGCAGCCGCGGUAAUACGUAGGGUGCAAGCGUUGUCCGGAAUUAUUGGGCGUAAAGAGCUCGUAGGCGGUUUGUCACGUCUGCUGUGAAAAUCCAAGGCUCAACCUUGGACUUGCAGUGGGUACGGGCAGGCUAGAGUGCGGUAGGGGAGAUGGGAAUUCCUGGUGUAGCGGUGGAAUGCGCAGAUAUCAGGAGGAACACCAAUGGCGAAGGCACAUCUCUGGGCCGUAACUGACGCUGAGGAGCGAAAGCGUGGGGAGCGAACAGGAUUAGAUACCCUGGUAGUCCACGCCGUAAACGGUGGGUGCUAGCUGUGGGCCACAUUCCACGUGGUCCGUGACGAAGUUAACACAUUAAGCACCCCGCCUGGGGAGUACGGCCGCAAGGCUAAAACUCAAAGGAAUUGACGGGGGCCCGCACAAGCGGCGGAGCAUGCGGAUUAAUUCGAUGCAACGCGAAGAACCUUACCAAGGCUUGACAUAUAGAGGAAAAGUGCAGAAAUGCACUCCCCGCAAGGUCUCUAUACAGGUGGUGCAUGGUUGUCGUCAGCUCGUGUCGUGAGAUGUUGGGUUAAGUCCCGCAACGAGCGCAACCCUCGUCCUAUGUUGCCAGCACGUAAUGGUGGGAACUCAUGGGAUACUGCCGGGGUCAACUCGGAGGAAGGUGGGGAUGACGUCAAAUCAUCAUGCCCCUUAUGUCUUGGGCUUCACGCAUGCUACAAUGGCCGGUACAGAGGGCUGCAAUACCGCAAGGUGGAGCGAAUCCCAAAAAGCCGGUCUCAGUUCGGAUUGAGGUCUGCAACUCGACCUCAUGAAGUCGGAGUCGCUAGUAAUCGUAGAUCAGCAACGCUACGGUGAAUACGUUCCCGGGCCUUGUACACACCGCCCGUCAAGUCACGAAAGUCGAUAACACCCGAAGCCGGUGGCCUAACCGCAAGGAGGGAGCCGUCGAAGGUGGGAUUGGUGAUUGGGACUAAGUCGUAACAAGGUAACCGUA